AUUGAACGCUGGCGGCAUGCCUUACACAUGCAAGUCGAACGGCAGCACGGGAGCAAUCCUGGUGGCGAGUGGCGAACGGGUGAGUAAUAUAUCGGAACGUGCCCAGUCGUGGGGGAUAACGCAGCGAAAGCUGUGCUAAUACCGCAUACGAUCUAUGGAUGAAAGCGGGGGAUCGCAAGACCUCGCGCGAUUGGAGCGGCCGAUAUCAGAUUAGCUAGUUGGUGAGGUAAAGGCUCACCAAGGCGACGAUCUGUAGCUGGUCUGAGAGGACGACCAGCCACACUGGAACUGAGACACGGUCCAGACUCCUACGGGAGGCAGCAGUGGGGAAUUUUGGACAAUGGGCGAAAGCCUGAUCCAGCAAUGCCGCGUGCAGGAUGAAGGCCUUCGGGUUGUAAACUGCUUUUGUACGGAACGAAACGGUGAGCUCUAAUACAGUUUGCUAAUGACGGUACCGUAAGAAUAAGCACCGGCUAACUACGUGCCAGCAGCCGCCGUAAUAC
rnacentral:rRNA from 1 species